GAUUCCGUAGUGUAGUGGUUAUCACGUGCGUUUUACACGCGCAAGGUCCCCGGUUCGAGCCCGGGCGGAAUCA